rnacentral:rRNA from 1 species
GAUGAACGCUGGCGGCGUGCCUAAUACAUGCAAGUCGAGCGAACGGACGAGAAGCUUGCUUCUCUGAUGUUAGCGGCGGACGGGUGAGUAACACGUGGAUAACCUACCUAUAAGACUGGGAUAACUUCGGGAAACCGGAGCUAAUACCGGAUAAUAUUUUGAACCGCAUGGUUCAAAAGUGAAAGACGGUCUUGCUGUCACUUAUAGAUGGAUCCGCGCUGCAUUAGCUAGUUGGUAAGGUAACGGCUUACCAAGGCAACGAUGCAUAGCCGACCUGAGAGGGGGAGGGCCAAACCGGAAAAGGGAAACGGGCCAGACUCCGCAGGGGGGGAAGAGGAGGGAAUGUUGCCCAAUGGGGGGAAAGCUGGAGGGGGCACGCCCCGUGGGGGGAUAAAGUGUUGGGAUUGGAAAACCAUGUUUUUAGGGGAAAAAAAAAUUGUAAAUAAAUAGGGCCAUUUUGAAGGGACCUAAACCAAAAGGCCCGGCCAACUUACGG